UUUCACAUAAGCCAAAGGAUUCCAUUCCUUUUCUUACCUUCUGUGCUUUAUUUGGUACAUACUCAGUAUGCUGAGUGUGACGCUCUUCCUCUAAGAACGGUGCUCAAGCCUCCUGCAGAACCACCUAAUGGGUGUAUGUAAAAAUUGGAUUCCUGGGUCCCACCCCAGACUACUGAGUCAGGCAGCAUCUCUUGACCCAGGAAGCGGUACUCUUAAUAAAUCACCUGCAGGUGAUUCUUUUCUUCUGCACUUUGAGUUGAGAACCACUGCUCUAAUAGGUGAAUAAACAUUAAGCAAUCAGAAGCCUUGUGAUGCCAUAUGAUGCAGUUUGCGCUUCAGAAACAUCAGUUGCUGCUAUACAGAGAACAAACCAGAAGGAGGAUGAGAGGGGAGACAGAGUCCAGUGAGGGAAUAACUCAGUCCAGGUGGCAGUGACCUGCACAGACAAGAAGUGAACUGCUUCGAGAGGGAAAACCAAGGGUGGAUCCUGAAAAGGAAAUAGAAAUGGAUGGAGGGCCAUGAGAAGACAGCUGGGUGGACAGUGGGAGAUGACCAAGGAGGAGGGAGCAGUCCUGUCCAUUCUAAAUGGGGUGUUUGGUGGUGAAGGGCCAGGAAGGUUUCCAUGGUGGGGACUUGAGAGAUUAGAGAGUGGUCCCAAGCAGACUGGGGCAGGCAGGAGAAAGAGGAGUGGACAGAAGGGCCUUCCUUGGAGAGGUUUCAGUCUGACAAGGUUCAAACAUGAAUAGUACUCUGAACAG
rnacentral:lncRNA from 1 species